AUGACUAGCGUUAAAGUAGCUGGAGUGUUAUGCCUCCUAGUAUUUUUGGCUAUCUCUUCUUGUUCGCGCCAUGCACAAGCAAGCCAAGGGGUAGAUCACUGCACCAUCGACAAAAAUAAGGUGAUGCGAGACUGCUGGGGUAACAUCGAAAAGAACCUUGGUGACCGGGUUCCACGACCGUGGAUCCCAUGUUGCCAAACAAUAAGAGCUGCGAUAGACAUCCACUGCGUCUGUGAUCGGUUCACCGCUCACGAACUGACUAGGAUUAGUCUAUCCAAGUUCGCCAGUGUUACACAUGUAUGCGGCAACGGGUUGCACCCACACACUCAUUGUGCAGGUU
rnacentral:rRNA from 1 species